rnacentral:tRNA from 1 species
AAAAAGAUAAGCUAAAUAAGCUAAUGGGCUCAUACCCCAUCUAUAAAGGUAUAAAUCCUUUUCUUUUUA